AGAUUAGCUUGCUUUAUUUGUCAGCUAAGUGGCGCACGGGUGAGUAAUGUAUAGGUAAUAUGCCUCUUACUAAGGGAUAACAAAUGGAAACGUUUGCUAAUACCUUAUACUCCUUAUUAACAUAAGUUAAUAAGGGAAAGAUUUAUUGGUAAGAGAUUAGCCUGUAUUGUAUCAGUUAGUUGGUGGGGUAAUGGCUUACCAAGACUAUGACACAUAACUGGUUUGAGAGGAUGAUCAGUCACACUGGAACUGAGACACGGUCCAGACUCCUACGGGAGGCAGCAGUGGGGAAUAUUGCACAAUGGACGAAAGUCUGAUGCAGCAACGCCGCGUGGAGGAUGACACAUUUCGGUGCGUAAACUCCUUUUAUAUGAGAAGAUAAUGACGGUAUUAUAUGAAUAAGCACCGGCUAACUCCGUGCCAGCAGCCGCGGUAAUACGGGGGGUGCAAGCGUUACUCGGAAUCACUGGGCGUAAAGAGCAUGUAGGCGGAUCAAUAAGUUUGAAGUGAAAUCCUAUAGCUUAACUAUAGAACUGCUUUGAAAACUGUUAAUCUAGAAUGUGGGAGAGG
rnacentral:rRNA from 1 species